CAGCCGCCGCGGUAAAACGAAGGGGGCUAGCGUUGCUCGGAAUUACUGGGCGUAAAGGGCGCGUAGGCGGACAUUUAAGUCAGAGGUGAAAGCCCAGGGCUCAACCUUGGAAUUGCCUUUGAUACUGGAUGUCUUGAGUUCGGGAGAGGUGAGUGGAAUGCCGAGUGUAGAGGUGAAAUUCGUAGAUAUUCGGCGGAACACCAGUGGCGAAGGCGACUCACUGGCCCGAUACUGACGCUGUGGCGCGAAAGCGUGGGGAGCAAACAGGAUUAGAUACCCCUGUAGUCCCUGUCUCUUAUAC
rnacentral:rRNA from 1 species